GCAUUGUUGAAGAGUCCCAUACUAAGACGAAACGGCCGUCCAGUAC
rnacentral:hammerhead_ribozyme from 1 species